CAGGCCUAACACAUGCAAGUCGAACGGUAACAGGUCUUCGGAUGCUGACGAGUGGCGAACGGGUGAGUAAUACAUCGGAACGUGCCCGAUCGUGGGGGAUAACGAAGCGAAAGCUUUGCUAAUACCGCAUAAGAUCUACGGAUGAAAGCAGGGGACCGCAAGGCCUUGCGCGAACGGAGCGGCCGAUGGCAGAUUAGGUAGUUGGUGGGAUAAAAGCUUACCAAGCCGACGAUCUGUAGCUGGUCUGAGAGGACGACCAGCCACACUGGGACUGAGACACGGCCCAGACUCCUACGGGAGGCAGCAGUGGGGAAUUUUGGACAAUGGGCGAAAGCCUGAUCCAGCCAUGCCGCGUGCAGGAUGAAGGCCUUCGGGUUGUAAACUGCUUUUGUACGGAACGAAAAGACUCUGGUUAAUACCUGGGGUCCAUGACGGUACCGUAAGAAUAAGCACCGGCUUANCUUAC
rnacentral:rRNA from 1 species